rnacentral:rRNA from 1 species
UACGUAGGGGGCAAGCGUUGUCCGGAAUCAUUGGGCGUAAAGCGCGCGUAGGCGGCCAUAUAAGUCCGGUGUGAAAGUCACAGGCUCAACCUGUGAAUGCCGCUGGAAACUGUCUGGCUAGAGUCCGGAAGGGGCGAGUGGAAUUCCUGGUGUAGCGGUGAAAUGCGCAGAUAUCAGGAGGAACACCAAUGGCGAAGGCAGCGCGCUGGAACGGUACUGACGCUGAGGCGCGAAAGCGUGGGGAGCGAACAGG